UAUGAUAAGUGCUGGGAGGAAAAUGCCCAA
rnacentral:piRNA from 1 species